rnacentral:rRNA from 1 species
UACGGAGGGUGCAAGCGUUGUUCGGAAUCACUGGGCGUAAAGCGCGUGUAGGCGGCCUUCUUAGUCUGGUGUGAAAGCCCGGGGCUCACCCCCGGAAGUGCAUUGGAUGCUGGAAGGCUGGAGUACCGGAGAGGAGGGUGGAAUUCCUGGUGUAGCGGUGAAAUGCGUAGAUAUCAGGAGGAACACCGGUGGCGAAGGCGGCCCUCUGGACGGAUACUGACGCUGAGACGCGACAGCGUGGGGAGCAAACAGG